rnacentral:tRNA from 1 species
GCCUGCGUGGUGUAUUGGCAAGCACACUCGGCUCGUAUUUAAGAGGUCUGUGGUUCGAGUCCCAGCGAACGCA